rnacentral:rRNA from 1 species
CAGUCGCCACGGGAAUACGGAGGGUGCAAGCGUUAAUCGGAAUUACUGGGCGUAAAGCGCACGCAGGCGGUCUGACAAGUCAGAUGUGAAAUCCCCGGGCUUAACCUGGGAACUGCAUUUGAAACUGUCAGGCUGGAGUCUUGUAGAGGGGGGUAGAAUUCCAGGUGUAGCGGUGAAAUGCGUAGAGAUCUGGAGGAAUACCGGUGGCGAAGGCGGCCCCCUGGACAAAGACUGACGCUCAGGUGCGAAAGCGUGGGGAGCAAACAGGAUUAGAUACCCCAGUAGUCCCUGUCUCUUAUAA